rnacentral:rRNA from 1 species
GUCYSGGCUCUUACGCAUGUMCACUCUGUUUGAGCAGGCGGUUGAGAMCGUGACCCAGCGCGAGUGCUAUACUGCACUUGGUGUUAGCUCCGCACUCUAUCGACGUAUGUGCAUGCGGACUCUGCGACGCAGCUACAUGUGAACACCUUGUACACACGAGCUGGGUCCRGCAUUCCUCCCGCGGGAUGGUUCCUCCGGAUAUACUUAAUCUGGCAGUCUAUACUAGCGUGCCGUACAGCCCUGGAACAGUCUACGCGCACAGCCCGUCGUCGCAGGGACUGCAAGGUCUCUCCGAGAUUCUGCUGAA